UUGCCAGACUCCUACGGGAGGCAGCAGUGAGGAAUAUUGGUCAAUGGGCGGGAGCCUGAACCAGCCAAGUCGCGUGAGGGAAGACGGUCCUAUGGAUUGUAAACCUCUUUAGGCGGGGAGCAAUGCCGGGCACGCGUGUCCGGAGGGAGAGUACCCGCAGAAUAAGCAUCGGCUAACUCCGUGCCAGCAGCCGCGGUAAUACGGAGGAUGCGAGCGUUAUCCGGAUUUAUUGGGUUUAAAGGGUGCGCAGGCGGAUUUUUAAGUCAGCGGUCAAAUCGUGGGGCUCAACCCCAUCCAGCCGCUGAAACUGGGGAUCUAGAGUGUGCGAGAGGUAUGCGGAAUGCGUGGUGUAGCGGUGAAAUGCAUAGAUAUCACGCAGAACCCCGAUUGCGAAGGCAGCAUACCGGUGCACAACUGACGCUCAGGCACGAAAGCGUGGGUAUCGAACAGGAUUAGAUACCCGGGUA
rnacentral:rRNA from 1 species